UCCUACGGGAGGCAGCAGCCGCGGUAUGUACAUCCUACGGGAGGCAGCAGUAGGGAAUAUUGGACAAUGGGGGAAACCCUGAUCCAGCAAUGCCGCGUGAGUGAUGAAGGCCUUAGGGUUGUAAAGCUCUUUUACCCGGGAUGAUAAUGACAGUACCGGGAGAAUAAGCUCCGGCUAACUCCGUGCCAGCAGCCGCGGUA
rnacentral:rRNA from 1 species